GGAGGAGUACCCAAGUGGCUGAAGGGGACGGUUUGCUAAAUCGUUAGGUCGGGGAAACCUGGCGCCGGAGUUCGAAUCUCCGCUCCUCCGCCA
rnacentral:tRNA from 1 species